rnacentral:lncRNA from 1 species
GUUAUUUCCAUAAAAGUGUGUUGUUUUCAUAUCUCUUCAUCCACACACCAAGUUUACUCUUUUUUUUUUUUUUUCUUUUUUUCAGAAGAAGGCUGUCAUGGCCUAGCUCACUGUUCUGGACUUUGCUAUUUGAUCAAACUGACCUGUUCUGUGCUGUCUUUCUCCCUCCACAUCUAAUGUGUACUUGGCGUCCUCAAGAUCUGCAGGUUACAGACAAAAGCACUGCCAGUUUAUUUACAAACAACAAACCAAGUUUAAAUGGAGGAACAAAAGCAUACCAGAUGACAAACAGUGAGGUAGGAGCAUCCUGAAGAAAUAUGUAGUUUACUAGCAUGUCUGGAUAACCUGCAGGAAGGAAAUUAACCCUGUCUCUAUGGACCAUUUGUAGGCUGGAGGCUGUAUCAGAACAGUGGUC